rnacentral:rRNA from 1 species
GAUGAACGCUGGCGGCGUGCUUAACACAUGCAAGUCGAACGGAGUUAUUCAAUAGCUUGCUAGAGAAUAACUUAGUGGCGGACGGGUGAGUAACGCGUGGGUAACCUGCCGUAUACAGGGGGAUAACACUUAGAAAUAGGUGCUAAUACCGCAUAAGCGCACAGUACCGCAUGGUACGGUGUGAAAAACUCCGGUGGUAUACGAUGGACCCGCGUCUGAUUAGAUAGUUGGUGAGGUAAUGGCCCACCAAGUCGACGAUCAGUAGCCGGCCUGAGAGGGUGAACGGCCACAUUGGGACUGAGACACGGCCCAAACUCCUACGGGAGGCAGCAGUGGGGAAUAUUGGACAAUGGGGGAAACCCUGAUCCAGCGACGCCGCGUGAGUGAAGAAGUAUUUCGGUAUGUAAAGCUCUAUCAGCAGGGAAGAUAAUGACGGUACCUGACUAAGAAGCUCCGGCUAAAUACGUG